UACGUAGGGGGCUAGCGCUGUCCGGAAUCAUUGGGCGUAAAGCGCGUGUAGGCGGCCCGGUAAGUCCGCUGUGAAAGUCGGGGGCUCAACCCUCGGAUGCCGGUGGAUACUGUCGGGCUUGAGUACGGAAGAGGAGAGUGGAAUUCCUGGUGUAGCGGUGAAAUGCGCAGAUAUCAGGAAGAACACCUAUGGCGAAGGCAGCUCUCUGGGACGGUACUGACGCUGAGACGCGAAAGCGUGGGGAGCGAACAGG
rnacentral:rRNA from 1 species